GGUCUUCAUCUACCAUAGGAGGUGCACUUCUCACCAUCUCGAGGCCACAGCCACAAACCACUAAUUCAUUGGGGCUCUCCUUUUGUUCGGUUGCUGUUAUCGGAGCAAGGAUUUUCCAUUGCCUGAGACAGACCACUGCCCUCCUUUGGAGGACAAAUGGCCGGCAAUUUAAUCUCUCUUGAUAGCUUCAGGUCCCAAAGAUGGCAUGCAUGGAUGCGUGGUGAUAGAUCUCAGUUGGAUAUACAAAUCUUCGUUGCCAGUGAGUCUUCCCUUAUAUGCUGUACAACUUUUCUUUUUGUUGGUGGUGGUGGUGGUGGUGUUCUUGAAAAGGACUUUGGUGGCUGAGCAUUAAGCUCUCCCACCGUCCACUACCUCUGAGCUUUUAGAAGGUCCAUUGCACGUAUAUGGUGUGGCUUAGCACAGUGCCCAACCGGUUAGGUCAUCGGUGGAAGCCACGAGUGUGCAUUAGGAUCAAUAAGUGAGCUUUUAUGGAUUGCGGAGGCUUCCUUGUAGAAUCUGAAAUGCUUCAUCGAGAGGUGUGAGUUGUGCCCUCUCACAGCAACAGUAGGGAGAGGAAGACAGCAGAACGAAGAAGAAGAUAAGUGCAGGUUCCGAUGGUUCCUUCCAUCUCUUUCAUGCUCUUAACCUCAGUUGCUCAAAGCAGCCAUUACAUGAGACCAGGAAGCGUGCUUGUCGGUGAGAGGGACAGCGAAGAGAGAGAGAGAGAGAGAGAAUGAAUGGUGCGUCCCUGAGAGCGGAGGGGCAGCCGACACCUACUUGUAUCCCAUGGCCACAUUGUUUGUGCUAAUUAGCCUCUUGGCUGCCAACUUCACAUACGACAACAUCACUUCCAAUGAUUCGAGGGAAAAUGGCUAGAUGUUUAUUUGGCUAAAUGGGAUGUGAGAGAGUAGUCGACGGAAGUCUAAGGAGCAAGUGCUCGAGCCUUUUUAUCCAUCAUGAUUGAUGACAAUAAUAGACUCGCCAUCCUUUUAUUCUUAGAUAUAGGAGUUUAUAGUUAUCUCAUGUUCAUGAUUUUUUCCGACCUCAUGGAUCGAAAUUUACAAAGAUGGAGUGUACGUGAACUUAAUUGGUA